CAGUUCACGGGAAACUAAAUGGUACCUGAGUUAGCCGACGGAAUUGGCGUCCGUGAAGCGAGAGAGAGAGGGAGAGAGAAAGGCUGCUGCCGAAGGCCUUGGCAAUCAUCCGAUGAAGCCGGAGAGAGCACAGAUCACUUGUCGUGCCCAUGAGUCCCAGCCUUUGAUCCCUUCCUACCCCGGCCCAGUUAACAUCAUUGGAGCCCAAUCUGAGGACAUACCCUUCUCUACCUAAGCCAGCCCAUGAAAGGUAAGCAAUUAAUUAAUAGUAUCAUAUCACAAGAUUAUUCGUUGAUGAAUCGGAAGCUGCGUGAUCAAAUUCAACGAAAUAGUACAAAAGAGACGGCUGCAGUACAGGUUGAGCUCCUUGUACUGACGCGUGCAGCCACGGGUUUGGUACUUGAAAGUAGUGGUACCAUCAAAUCCACGAAGAAACGGCAGUACAAGUCCACAGCCUGUGAGCGCCGCAUAAAUAUCCAUCCCUGGAAGAGGCAAAGCUCAUGUCGGUUCCACAGCCGGAGCAAUGGCAACCACAAGGGGGCGGGAAUUGUAUAGUCGAUGAUGAGGCAUUAGAGGCAGGUAAGUAAGUUUCUUUGCAGGGCUCUAAUCGAUAGCAAUGACAAGUGCCUCGGAAGUUCUUGCAGUCUCCCCGCACCACAUCGCCCUCGCAGCAGAAGAAUCUGACAAUUGCAAGGGGGAUGAUUCAUUCAUUUGCAAAGCUUAAACAACAUGUUUCGAGGCACAAAAAAUAUAUUUCAUGUGUAACUCUUUUCUAAGUGCCACAUUUAUUUUUACAAGCAGAGGGUAGGAAAUAAUGUUCUUUCAUAGACAAGAGUAUAAAGCAUUUAUACUAUUGACCAUAA